GGGAAGGGAUUUUAACAAAUAUCCAAAUUUUUUUUAUAAAGAACACUUCAUUUUUGGCGCACCACCAAUUUGUCACAAUAACAGCAGCACAGCACUGGAGUUAAUUCUUGUAAUCACCACAUUAUUUUAGGAUCUUAAGCAGGCUUAACAGAGGCUGACACAUCCAUAUGUUCUGUUUUACCUAUCAUGUCUAUAUAUAUUGUUUUUCAUUGAUUUCAGGCUCGUUGCUCUUCAUCGACCUCAUGGGGGUCGAAACAAUGGAUGACGUUUCAGGUACGACGUCAACCCACGAGGAGAUGAAGAGCGGGAGCAAAACACUCUCAUUUUUGAGAGCGUUUCUCAUGGAUAUGGCCAGCAAGGGUUCCAGCACCUCAUACAGAAAUAGUCCACUGACAGUGUCACAAAUCAAGAUCCUGUAUUUCAUCAGGCCAACAAAAUUAUCUAGACGAAUAACUCUAGAUAUUUUAGAGUUUUCAAAAAAACUCCAAAAAUAACAAGAUCACAGAAAA